rnacentral:misc_RNA from 1 species
CGCUUGGCACAGGAGCAGAGGGGUCAGGGCGAAGUCCCAGGGCCCCAGGCGUGGCUCUCAGGGUCUCAGGCCCCGAAGGCGGUGUAUGGAUUGGGGAGUCCCAGCCUUGGGGAUUCCCCAACUCCGCAGUUUCUUUUCUCCCUCUGCCAACCUAUGUAGGGUCCUUCUUCCUGGAUACUCACGACGCGGACCCAGUUCUCACUCCCAUUGGGUGUCGGGUUUCCAGAGAAGCCAAUCAGUGUCGUCGCGGUCGCGGUUCUAAAGUCCGCACGCACCCACCGGGACUCAGAUUCUCCCCAGACGCCGAGGAUGGCCGUCAUGGCGCCCCGAACCCUCCUCCUGCUACUCUUGGGGGCCCUGGCCCUGACCCAGACCUGGGCGGGCUCCCACUCCAUGAGGUAUUUCUUCACAUCCGUGUCCCGGCCCGGCCGCGGGGAGCCCCGCUUCAUCGCCGUGGGCUACGUGGACGACACGCAGUUCGUGCGGUUUGACAGCGACGCCGCGAGCCAGAGGAUGGAGCCGCGGGCGCCGUGGAUAGAGCAGGAGGGGCCGGAGUAUUGGGACCAGGAGACACGGAAUGUGAAGGCCCACUCACAGACUGACCGAGAGAGCCUGCGGAUCGCGCUCCGCUACUACAACCAGAGCGAGGCCGGUUCUCACACCAUCCAGAUGAUGUAUGGCUGCGACGUGGGGCCGGACGGGCGCCUCCUCCGCGGGUACCAGCAGGACGCCUACGACGGCAAGGAUUACAUCGCCUUGAACGAGGACCUGCGCUCUUGGACCGCGGCGGACAUGGCGGCUCAGAUCACCCAGCGCAAGUGGGAGGCGGCCCGUGUGGCGGAGCAGUUGAGAGCCUACCUGGAGGGCACGUGCGUGGAGUGGCUCCGCAGAUACCUGGAGAACGGGAAGGAGACGCUGCAGCGCACGGACGCCCCCAAGACGCAUAUGACUCACCACGCUGUCUCUGACCAUGAGGCCACCCUGAGGUGCUGGGCCCUGAGCUUCUACCCUGCGGAGAUCACACUGACCUGGCAGCGGGAUGGGGAGGACCAGACCCAGGACACGGAGCUUGUGGAGACCAGGCCUGCAGGGGAUGGAACCUUCCAGAAGUGGGCGUCUGUGGUGGUGCCUUCUGGACAGGAGCAGAGAUACACCUGCCAUGUGCAGCAUGAGGGUCUGCCCAAGCCCCUCACCCUGAGAUGGGAGCCGUCUUCCCAGCCCACCAUCCCCAUCGUGGGCAUCAUUGCUGGCCUAGUUCUCUUUGGAGCUAUGUUCGCUGGAGCUGUGGUCGCUGCUGUGAGGUGGAGGAGGAAGAGCUCAGGUGGGGUGAAGGGAUGAAGGAUAGAAAAGGAGGGAGCUACUCUCAGGCUGCAAGCAGUGACAGUGCCCAGGGCUCUGAUAUGUCUCUCACAGCUUGUAAAGUGUGAGACAGCUGCCUUGUGUGGGACUGAGAGGCAAGAUUUGUUCCUGCCCUUCCCUUUGUGACUUGAAGAACCCUGACUUUGUUUCUGCAAAGGCACCUGCAUGUGUCUGUGUUCUUGUAGGCAUAAUGUGAGGAGGUGGGGAGACCACCCCACCCCCAUGUCCACCAUGACCCUCUUCCCACGCUGACCUGUGCUCCCUCCCCAAUCAUCUUUCCUGUUCCAGAGAGGUGGGGCUGAGGUGUCUCCAUCUCUGCCUCAACUUCAUGGUGCACUGAGCUGUAACUUCUUCCUUCCCUAUUAAAAUUAGAACCUGAGUAUAAAUUUACUUUCUCAAAUUCUUGCCAUGAGAGGUUGAUGAGUUAAUUAAAGGAGAAGAUUCCUAAAAUUUGAGAGACAAAAUAAAUGGAACACAUGAGAACCUUCCAGAGUCCA